UACGGAAGGCAGCAGUGGGGAAUAUUGCACAAUGGGCGCAAGCCUGAUGCAGCCAUGCCGCGUGUAUGAAGAAGGCCUUCGGGUUGUAAAGUACUUUCAGUCGUGAGGAAGGUGUUAAGGUUAAUAACCUUAGCAAUUGACGUUAGCGACAGAAGAAGCACCGGCUAACUCCGUGCCAGCAGCCGCGGUAAUACGGAGGGUGCGAGCGUUAAUCGGAAUUACUGGGCGUAAAGGGCACGCAGGCGGUUAAUUAAGUUGGAUGUGAAAUCCCCGGGCUUAACCUGGGAAUGGCAUUCAAGACUGGUUAGCUAGAGUCUUGUAGAGGGGGUUAGAAUUCCAUGUGUAGCGGUGAAAUGCGUAGAGAUGUGGAGGAAUACCGGUGCGAAGGCGGCCCCUGGACAAGACUGACGCUCAUGUGCGAAAGCGUGGGGAGCAAACGAGGGAUUAGAUACC
rnacentral:rRNA from 1 species